AGUUGUAUCUUUAAACUGUCGGGAUUAAGAUUUUGGGUUGUGCCUCUUUAUUUGGAAUUAGUUUCCGCUGUAUAGUUUUGACUAAGUAAAUAUUAUGUAUAUGGACUUCCAUAGCACCUCUUCACUUGGGCUUCGAUUACUAUUUGAGAUAUCCCUACGACAGAAUGAUAAUUUUGAUAUUUUGUCUGCUCUGUUUGUCAGGAUCAAAUAUGGCAGUUUUUAUGGGCGGAUUGGACUGCAGUCUGAACUGUGAAUGCUGUAAGGGAGGAGUGUCACAAUGUACAAAUGAUGAUAGAAGAGGAGACAACUAUUGCUUCGAGGGCUGCGUUGAUGGAAUUUACGGCUUGAAAUGUCGAAAUUUAUGCCAAGGAAAGUGUUCUACGUGUGAACAUGUAUAUGGCAUUGAAUGUUACAGCUGCAAGGACACAUUUUAUGAUAUAAACGGUGAGUGUAGCAAAAGCUGUCCAGUCGGGUGUGAAGGAGGAGUCUGUAAUGAUGAUGGAACAUGUAAAACAUGUACAGCUCACUUCGAAGGAACAACAUGCAGUGAAUGUCAGUCAGGAUAUUAUGGGGCAGACUGCAAUGUAUCAUGUUCCGUAGGGUGUGUAAAUGGACAGUGUUCAAAAGAUGGCACGUGUCU